CCUACGGGAGGCAGCAGUGAGGAAUAUUGGUCAAUGGGCGGACGCCUGAACCAGCCAAGUCGCGUGAGGGAAGACUGCCCUAUGGGUUGUAAACCUCUUUUGUCAGGGAGCAACGCCGGCUACGUGUAGCCGGACUGAGAGUACCUGAAGAAAAAGCAUCGGCUAACUCCGUGCCAGCAGCCGCGGUAAUACGGGGGAUGCGAGCGUUAUCCGGAUUUAUUGGGUUUAAAGGGUGCGUAGGCGGAAUGCCAAGUCAGCGGGAAAAUCGCGGGGCUCAACCUCGCUUCGCAGUUGAAACUGGCGUUCUUGAGUGGGCGAGAAGUAUGCGGAAUGCGUGGUGUAGAGGUGAAAUGCAUAGAUAUCACGCAGAACUCCGAUUGCGAAGGCAGCAUACCGGCGCCCAACUGACGCUGAAGCACGAAAGCGUGGGUAUCGAACAGGAUUAGAUACCCUGGUAGUC
rnacentral:rRNA from 1 species